rnacentral:lncRNA from 1 species
AUAUUAAUUGUAUUGGAUAAUGCAACAUUGGAUAUAUAGAGUUAAAGAAAAAAAAUUUGAAAAUUUUUAGAGAUAAAUUGCAGCGUUUUUAAUCGGGCCCAAUUGCUUCAUAUUUUCAGUUAUAUUUAUUAUUUUUUUAAAAAAAUAUAAACUUUAAAUACUACUUCUGUAAUUUUAUACUUUCUUAUUUUAGUAUUCUAUAAUUUAAAAUGUAUCAAUUUAGUAUUUUAUAAUUUUAUUUUAUUUUUCUUUUCUUCGGCCUCUUCGAUAACUUUUCGUUAAACCAUAUAUAAAAAACUUCAGAUAUUCCGUAUAUAGUUAAUCGAAUAUUCACUUUACUAGCCUUUAGUUUUAAUUUUGUCACGAAUUUAAUGAAAAAAAAUAGUGGAUGAGAUAAUAAAAAGAGAAAAAUAAAAUGAUAGGGUACGAAAGUGAUGCAUUUUAAACCAUAGGAUACUAAGUAAGAAAGUGCGAAACUACAGGGAUGAUAUUUAAAUUCUUUUAAAAAAAAAAAAUAAAUGUUUGAAUCAAUAGUCAAUUAAAAAAUUUAAAUU